rnacentral:rRNA from 1 species
UACGAAGGGGGCUAGCGUUGCUCGGAAUCACUGGGCGUAAAGGGUGCGUAGGCGGGUCUUUAAGUCAGUGGUGAAAUCUCCGGGCUCAACCCGGAAACUGCCAUUGAUACUAUUAGUCUUGAAUUCUGUUGAGGUGGGCGGAAUACAUCAUGUAGCGGUGAAAUGCUUAGAUAUGAUGUAGAACACCGAUUGCGAAGGCAGCUCACUAAGCAGACAUUGACGCUGAGACGCGAAAGCGUGGGGAGCAAACAGG